GCGGGCGGGCAUCGCCUUUGCCUUAGGUGGGGGAGAUUUUUCUCCCUCUUCACCGCCUCGCCUUCCCUCUGUUUCGAAAGGUUCGGGAAAGUCCAAGUCAUAACAUAAAAAGUGUGCGUAUUCCCGGCCGCCGGCAGGACCUGUUCGCGGGGAAGUUCCUCUUGAACUUUCUCCGAGGACAGUUGUGCACCCUGCCCGGCGCUUCACGGGGUUCCCUGGCCGUCGUUGUCUUUGUGACACCAUUUCCUCUUUUAAAUUUUCAUUUCAUGGUCUAUAUUUUCCACUUCGUCAUUUUUCUGUAGCACUCAUUAGAACAAGCCCCGAAAGGGCGACUAAGGAAACGCACAGGCGAGGCAGGAAAGCAGGAAUUUUUUUUUUUUUUUAAUCUAAUGACUAUGACGGCUUGGCAAGAAAGAGUGCACGAUAGUGGACUGGAAAUCAGAGGUGGCUUCUCCUAUUGAUUAGUUAAGUGGGAUAACAAAAACCGACCUCAUUAUUAAAUAAGAUUUGCAGUAAGGACCACAUGGCAGAUGUUAGCGAUUGUGACUACUAUCUCUGGUAUCCAACUGUGUGGCCUGGAAGAGUUACGAGAAUAAAGAUGGCACAAAGUACAACUGUAUGCCCUUGACCCCAAUUCACCUGGAGCUCACGUUUACUUCAUUCGUGUCAUCAUCUGCAUGUGCUCCCUCUCUAGAUCUGUAUGGAUAUAAGCACAUUUUUCCUUGGACUUUGUGAGGGCUGGGUCUUACUCCCUCACCCAG
rnacentral:lncRNA from 10 species